AUUUGAGUUUUAAUGCUGAUAUCCCUAAUUCUAUUUAUUGGCUCAACUAACCUGCUAGGACUACUCCCACACUCAUUUACACCCACAACA